AUGCAGUCGAGCGGUAAGGCCUUUCGGGGUACACGAGCGGCGAACGGGUGAGUAACACGUGGGUGAUCUGCCCUGCACUUCGGGAUAAGCCUGGGAAACUGGGUCUAAUACCGGAUAUGACCUCCUAUCGCAUGGUGGGUGGUGGAAAGAUUUAUCGGUGCAGGAUGGGCCCGCGGUCUAUCAGCUUGUUGGUGGGGUAAUGGCCUACCAAGGCGACGACGGGUAGCCGACCUGAGAGGGUGACCGGCCACACUGGGACUGAGACACGGCCCAGACUCCUACGGGAGGCAGCAGUGGGGAAUAUUGCACAAUGGGCGAAAGCCUGAUGCAGCGACGCCGCGUGAGGGAUGACGGCCUUCGGGUUGUAAACCUCUUUCAGCAGGGACGAAGCGCAAGUGACGGUACCUGCAGAAGAAGCACCGGCUAACUACGUGCCAGCAGCCGCGGUAAUACGUAGGGUGCAAGCGUUGUCCGGAAUUACUGGGCGUAAAGAGUUCGUAGGCGGUUUGUCGCGUCGUUUGUGAAAACCAGCAGCUCAACUGCUGGCUUGCAGGCGAUACGGGCAGACUUGAGUACUGCAGGGGAGACUGGAAUUCCUGGUGUAGCGGUGAAAUGCGCAGAUAUCAGGAGGAACACCGGUGGCGAAGGCGGGUCUCUGGGCAGUAACUGACGCUGAGGAACGAAAAGCGUGGGUAGCGAACAGGAUUAGAUACUCCUGGUAGUCCACGCCGUAAACGGUGGGCGCUAGGUGUGGGUUCCUUCCACGGAAUUCCGUGCCGUAGCUAACGCAUUAAGCG
rnacentral:rRNA from 1 species